UCUCGCCCUCCCUCCAUCCUGGCUCGCGCCACAGGCACACGCCGGCCGCCCGCACCUAGGGGCCCAGGAGGCAUCUAGGGAGAUUGCCCCCCAUGCAGCCCUGAAAAAUUCCCCCAAGGACCAGAAGUCCUGCUGACAUGUCCCCUGAGAGUACCUGUAGUGUGGAGUGGUCCCCCAAAGACCAGGGCUCAGCCAGAGGUCCCCCAAAGACCAGGGCUCAGCCAGAGGUCCCCCAAAGACCAGGGCUCAGCCAGCGGUUCCCCAAAGACCAGGGCUGCAGCCAAAGUUUCCCCAAAGACCUGGGCUCAGCCAGAGGUCCCCCAAAACCAGGGCUCAGCCAGAGGUCCCCCAAAGACCAGGGCUCAGCCAGAGGUCCCCCAAAGACCAGGGCUCAGCCAGAGGUCCCCCAAAGACCAGGGCUCAGCCAGAGGUCCCC